AGUGUGUCUCUGCGGAGGGGAGACAGAGGAAAGAGAAGCAACGUCAGAACGGGGCGAACCCGGACGCGCGGCUCAGACAAGGACGAUGUUGGCGGCACGUUUCACUCACUGAAGGUCCUGGUGGUCCCUGGAGACCAGGAUGUCCACGAAGACCCUUCAUUCCAUAGUCUCCCUUGUCUCCACCAACUCCCUUCUCACCACGGGGGCCAGCGGGUCCC